rnacentral:rRNA from 1 species
UGGGGAAUAUUGCACAAUGGGCGAAAGCCUGAUGCAGCGACGCCGCGUGAGCGAAGAAGUAUUUCGGUAUGUAAAGCUCUAUCAGCAGGGAAGAAAAUGACGGUACCUGACUAAGAAGCCCCGGCUAACUACGUGCCAGCAGCCGCGGUAAUACGUAGGGGGCAAGCGUUAUCCGGAUUUACUGGGUGUAAGGGGAGCGCAGGCGGCGUGGCAAGUCUGAUGUGAAACUCCGGGGCUCAACCCCGGAACUGCAUUGGAAACUGUCAUGCUUGAGUGUCGGAGAGGUAAGUGGAAUUCCUAGUGUAGCGGUGAAAUGCGUAGAUAUUAGGAGGAACACCAGUGGCGAAGGCGGCUUAC